GAUGAACGCUGGCGGCGUGCCUAAUACAUGCAAGUCGAGCGAACGGACGAGAAGCUUGCUUCUCUGAUGUUAGCGGCGGACGGGUGAGUAACACGUGGAUAACCUACCUAUAAGACUGGGAUAACUUCGGGAAACCGGAGCUAAUACCGGAUAAUAUUUUGAAACGCAUGGUUCAAAAGUGAAAGACGGUCUUGCUGUCACUUAUAGAUGGAUCCGCGCUGCAUUAGCUAGUUGGUAAGGUAACGGCUUACCAAGGCAACGAUGCAUAGCCGACCUGAGAGGGUGAUCGGCCCAACUGGAACUGAGACAGGGUCCAGACUCCUACGGGAGGAAGCAGUAGGGAAUCUUCCGAAAUGGGCGAAAGCCUGACGGAGCAACGCCGCGUGAGUGAUGAAGGUCUUCGGAUCGUAAAACUCUGUUAUUAGGGAAGAACAUAUGUGUAAGUAACUGUGCACAUCUUGACGGUACCUAAUCAGAAAGCCACGGCUAACUACGUG
rnacentral:rRNA from 1 species